rnacentral:rRNA from 1 species
GUUUGAUCCUGGCUCAGGAUUAACGCUGGCGGCGUGCCUAAUACAUGCAAGUCGAACGGAAGUUUAAGCAAUUAAACUUUAGUGGCGAACGGGUGAGUAACGCGUAAGCAAUCUGCCCCUAAGACGAGGAUAACAGUUGGAAACGACUGCUAAGACUGGAUAGGAGACAAGAGGGCAUCUUCUUGUUUUUAAAAGACCUAGCAAUAGGUAUGCUUAGGGAGGAGCUUGCGUCACAUUAGUUAGUUGGUGGGGUAAAGGCCUACCAAGACUAUGAUGUGUAGCCGGGCUGAGAGGUUGAACGGCCACACUGGGACUGAGACACGGCCCAAACUCCUACGGGAGGCAGCAGUAGGGAAUUUUCGGCAAUGGAGGAAACUCUGACCGAGCAACGCCGCGUGAACGAUGAAGUAUUUCGGUACGUAAAGUUCUUUUAUUAGGGAAGAAUAAAUGAUGGAAAAAUCAUUCUGACGGUACCUAAUGAAUAAGCCCCGGCUAACUAUGUGCCAGCAGCCGCGGUAAUACAUAGGGGGCAAGCGUUAUCCGGAAUUAUUGGGCGUAAAGGGUGCGUAGGCGGUUAAAUAAGUUUAUGGUCUAAGUGCAAUGCUCAACAUUGUGAUGCUAUAAAAACUGUUUAGCUAGAGUAAGAUAGAGGCAAGUGGAAUUCCAUGCGUAGUGGUAAAAUGCGUAAAUAUAUGGAGGAACACCAGUAGCGAAGGCGGCUUGCUGGGUCUUUACUGACGCUGAGGCACGAAAGCGUGGGGAGCAAACAAGAUUAGAUACCCUGGUAGUCCACGCCGUAAACGAUGAGUACUAAACGUUGGGUAAAACCAGUGUUGAAGUUAACACAUUAAGUACUCCGCCUGAGUAGUACGUACGCAAGUAUGAAACUUAAAGGAAUUGACGGGACUCCGCACAAGCGGUGGAUCAUGUUGUUUAAUUCGAAGGUACCCGAAAAACCUCACCAGGUCUUGACAUGCUUCUGCAAAGCUGUAGAAACACAGUGGAGGUUAUCAGUUGCACAGGUGGUGCAUGGUUGUCGUCAGCUCGUGUCGUGAGAUGUUGGGUUAAGUCCCGCAACGAGCGCAACCCUUAUUGUUAGUUACCAGCACGUAAUGGUGGGGACUUUAGCAAGACUGCCAGUGAUAAAUUGGAGGAAGGUGGGGACGACGUCAAAUCAUCAUGCCCCUUAUGACCUGGGCUACAAACGUGAUACAAUGGCUGUUACAAAGGGUAGCUGAAGCGCAAGUUUUUGGCGAAUCUCAAAAAAACAGUCUCAGUUCGGAUUGAAGUCUGCAACUCGACUUCAUGAAGUUGGAAUCGCUAGUAAUCGCGAAUCAGCAUGUCGCGGUGAAUACGUUCACGGGGUUUGUACACACCGCCCGUCAAA